GCCUGGGUGGCUCAGUCGGUUGAGCGUCUGACUCUUGAUUUUGGUCAGGGCGUGACCCCAGGGUUGUGGGAUUGAGCCCCACAUCAGGCU
rnacentral:tRNA from 1 species